ensembl:lncRNA
AUCUGAGUGACCAGCAGGGGUGGAGCCUGGAUCCAUCCCUCCUCACCCUCAUUUAAGGGUUAGCAGUCAAGAGAGCACCAUUUCUUUGGAUAGAGGCUGCACUUCUCUCAAGCUGUCGCUGGGCAUCAGAUGGGGUCAACCCAGCAGAGGGAUGGAGGCAGUCUGGGUUCCAUCUUGGGUUAUGCAGGGGUAAAAGAGCCUGUGGAGCAAGACGGAUCAAUUGUCUUUAGAGCUGGUCAGAUUCAUGGCAUCAGUGAACCAUUCCCAAAGCGGAGACCCACAUGUUGAGGCUGCCAGAAAGCACAGGAUCCUCUCCUGCCUCAGGACACCACACUGCUGCCCUGGGCAGAGCUCAUGUAGGAUCCCUGUGUGAGCAAAAUCCUAUCGCUGCCUUCGAACAAGCUCUAGAUUUGGUUGGAGCGGCAUCAAAGGAAAGGGGAGGUGAAGCUGAGGACUCGACCCGCCAGCCCAGGCUGAACUGCAAGGCUGGCAGCGAGGGGAAAACAUAUUUCUGCUGCUAAACAGAUUUGGGCUGGAAUCGGUGAGCAAUUACCAG